rnacentral:rRNA from 1 species
CCUAAUACAUGCAAGUCGAGCGAGAAGGUGUAGCAAUACACUUGUAAAGCGGCGAACGGGUGAGGAAAUGCAUGGGUAACCUACCCUCGAGUGGGGAAUAACUAGCCGAAAGGUUAGCUAAUACCGCAUACGUUUCCGGAACUUCGGUUUCGGAAAGAAAGCAAUACCGUGGGUAUUGCGCUCCCUGGGAUGGGCUCAUGUCCUAUCAGCUUGUUGGUGAGGUAACGGCUCACCAAGGCUUCGACGGGUAGCUGGUCUGAGAGGACGAUCAGCCACACUGGCACUGCGACACGGGCCAGACUCCUACGGGAGGCAGCAGUAAGGAAUAUUGCGCAAUGGACGAAAGUCUGACGCAGCGACGCCGCGUGGGGGAUGAAGGUCUUCGGAUUGUAAACCCCUUUCGGGAGGGAAGAUGGAGUGGGUAACCACUUGGACGGUACCUCCAGAAGCAGCCACGGCUAACUUCGUG